rnacentral:lncRNA from 1 species
CCUUUCUCAAACUGCAUCCAAAGCAACCCAGUGCCCUGUGCUUGUUGUACCCAGAGGUAUCGGUGCCAGGAGUUGUUGCUGUGUUUGCAAUGCCAUUGUGUCGGCAGGGUGACGUUAAUGGGCUGCAAUGCCCUCAGUCAUUCAAAGCAUCCUUGCAGAUGUUCCUAGUGAGGGGCAUGUUUCAUGGACACCAUAGGUUGUUUUCUGGAAAAUGAGAGAGUGGGCUUGCGUACCUCCAGAUGGUUUUCAUUUCCUGCUGAGCCCAGUGCACUUCACGUCUGCUGGCAUUGCCCCACGGCCCUGUUGUGGUUUAAGCCGGUGGGUGGCUCAGCACCACACAGUCCUUUGCUUACUGCCCCCUUCCCAGUGGGAUGGGGGAGAGAAUUAUGGGGGGAAAAAAAAAGAAGGUGGAACUAAUGCGUUGAGAGAAAUUUCUUUCCAAAGGUAGAGAAAAGGAAGGACCGAAGUAAUAUAUAUGUCUAUUUACGAAUGUAUGUAACAAGUGAUGUAGAAGCGGUGGCUCAGCACCUCCCAACCAAUGGCCAAGCAGAGGAAGAGAGUGAGAUGAACUCCCACCCCCUUCAAAACCCCUUCCACUUGAUGUCAUAUGGUAUGGAAUAUCCCUUUGGCUCGUUGACGGCAGCUGUCCUAAUUUGGUUUCCUCCCAGCUCCUUCUUGAGAGCUUUGCUGAGAACGGCCUUGGCUCUGUACGAGUCUGCUUCUCAGAAACUCUAAACGUCAGAGUGUUAUUACAGUUGUAGCAUCAUAGCAGACACUGAAGAAAAAUCGAUCGCACCUGAGACUAAGACAGCCCCCCAGUGUCUGUGCAGCGAGCCAUGUGGGGCUGCAGGUCGUGCAUUUCCCUGGCAGCAUUGGCCAGGGGUGCUGGGGAGGUUUGUGUGCUCAGCUUGGGCAUGGCGCUGCUGUGCCUGUCGACACAGCAUGCUCCGUGCUCUUCAAGCAGCAGAAGAGCGUUUCAUGAACAACGGGCCGUAAUAUUUACUGGAACCAGAUGCAUUUGUGUCUCUGAGGCUGGGUUUACCCAACAGGCUCUUCUCGAAGGAGCCGUUCUGAUUUCCUUUGUACGUGUGUGAGCAGAAGUGCUUUUCCCCCUUGUGUUCUGUCCCACUGUCUGUUGGUUUCCUGUGUGCUGCUUCAUCCCUGGAGCUCGCUGCUGCACAGAAGAGUACAGGCGUGUUUAUCGCCUGUAGGGGAAAAGGGGAGCCUGGUUGGCGUAGCAGUGAGCAGCAGCUAACGGGCUGUGCAGAGGAGGGCUUUGCAGAAGGAGCAGGAGUGCCUGCGUCCAUGUGUAUCCUGGGAUACGUUCUGGCAGUGAGGCACCAGCUGUGGCCACAGGGACUGAAUGCAGACUUGGCUUGGGGCUGCCAUGUGGCGCUUCCUACCCCUACCGUCCUGUAUAUGCCUGGCAAAGCACAGCCACCCUGCAGCCAUGGCAAGCGUUUGUCUUAGUGUCAUGUUUCAUGCUGUCUUGCGAAGCUCAGGCACUGGGGGCAGCUUCCCCCCAAGAAAGGGAGGAGAAAAUGAG